GAUUAACGCUGGCGGCAUGCCUAAUACAUGCAAGUCGAACGGAAGCAGCAAUGCUUUAGUGGCGAACGGGUGAGUAACACGUAGGGAACCUACCUAUACGACGAGGAUAACUACUGGAAACGGUAGCUAAAACUGGAUAGGAUCAAUUGAGGCAUCUUGAUUGAUUUAAAGAUCCUUCGGGAUUACGUAGAGAUGGCCCUGCGGCGCAUUAGCUAGUUGGUGAGGUAACGGCCACCAAGGCGACGAUGCGUAGCUGAGCUGAGAGGCUAAACAGCCACACUGGGACUGAGACACGGCCCAGACUCCUACGGGAGGCAGCAGUAGGGAAUUUUCGGCAAUGGGGGAAACCUUGACCGAGCAAUGCCGCGUGAACGAUGAAGGUCUUCGGAUUGUAAAGUUCUGUGAUUGGGGAAGAAUGGUAUUCUUAGGGAAUGAGGAGUACAUGACGGUACCCGAUUAGAAAGCCCCGGCUAACUAUGUGCCAGCAGCCGCGGU
rnacentral:rRNA from 1 species